rnacentral:lncRNA from 1 species
ACACUCAAGAACAUUUGGAACCACGAAAUCACUCUCUCCUUUUAAAGGAACCUGGCUCUGAUACCAUAAUAGAUUUAGUGAUUUAAAGAGUGAUUAAGUUUAAUCUGAGAAUUAAAGAGAUUGGAGAUUAAGAACAAGAGAGAGAGAGAGACUCAAAACUCCAUUAGCUUGAUUAAUGAGAGAGUUUACAACAUAUAUAGAUUAGAGAUACAUAUUUUCGUCCAGGUUCAGUCUAGUUAGGAUAAGAAGCAUGUGUAGUCAAAGAUGCCUUAUUCAAACCAGCCAAUAAGGUUCCUCACAUGCUUGGGUAUCUUGCUUUAGCUUUCCAGCUGGUGCCAGCCUGUCUAAAGCUCUCUUCCCUUGACCAGACCUUAUCCACACUCCUCCUUGCUUAUCCAGACUCCUCCUGUCGUGUUACACUCUCCAAAUGGAUGCAGGGUAACUUCCCAAGUCUUUUAACUUAGUUACCACAGUAACAAUAAAGUUACUGUGGUAAAUCUCCAAAGUUACUACCUGCUCCAAAUCCCUUCCUCUAUCCAUGUAUCAACUCUCCAUCUCCUCAUCUCAACACUUUAUUCUCUUAUCUCAACAAAGCUGUUCAAGAUGGAAAGUGUUAUAAAGAUGAAGGUCGCGGUGACAUUCAAAGGAAGCAACUACCUAGUCUGGUCUAGGAUGGUGAAGACUGCUGUGGGAAGCAAGGGUUUGUGGAAGCAUAUCACAGCUGGUGAAGCUCCAAGGGCGAUUACUCAAGAGGGUGACGCAGAGAGCUCCGAGGAGAGUGUUGUGGAGAAGUGGCAACAAGAAGACAUGAUGGUGAUGUCAGUUCUUCAUGCCUCUUUGGAACCGGCUAUCCUAGAUGCUUAUAGCUACUGUGAGACAGCCAAGGAGCUGUGGGACACUCUGAAGAAGGUGUAUGGAAAUGUUUCUAACCUGAACCGAGUGUUUGAAGUCAAGAAGGCAAUCAACGAGUUAACCCAAGAUGACAUGGAGUUUACAAAGCAUUUGGGGAGGUUCAGGACACUGUGGUCUGAGCUGGAGAUGUUGAGGCCAAGCACAGUUGAUCCAGAGCUUCUAAAUGAGAGGCGUGAGCAGGACAAGGUCUUUGGGUUGCUGCUCACAUUGAAUGCAAGCUACAAUGGUCUCAUUCAGCACAUGCUAAGGUCCGAGAAGUUACCUGACCUUGAGGAGGUGUGUGCACAGAUACAAAGGGAGCAGGGCUCAAUGGGCUUGUUUGGAGGCAAGGGAGACUUAUCUCUUGCAAAUGCUGUGCAAUCUGACCGUGAAGAACCUCCUCAAGCCAACAAAGCUGGCUACAACAAGUAUGAGAAGUUCAAUGGGAAUUGUGAUCAUUGCAAGAGGUAUGGGCACAAGAAGAUUCAGUGCUGGAUACUCCAUCCCCACUUGAAGCCGGCUAAGUUCAUAAAGGAGAAAGAGGCAAGAGCUCACAUGACUGAAGGAUCAAGUGGAGCAGGGCCAUCCAACCGAGGAACUGAAGUGGAGAACCGUGAAGGAAAUGGAAAAGCUUUGGUGACCUAUACUGGAGCCAUCAACCCCCGAGGCAAUGAUCAAGACUUCAUCAGGAGGUCCGAGAUGGAUGCACUCAUCAAAAUGCUCAAGGAUAAUGGUAACAUUCAUGGGUAUUCAUUUGGUGCUUCUAUGAUUGCUAGAACUAUAGAAAUGACUCCCAAUGUGGCUGAGAUUGCUAGGAUUGAUAGUAAGACUGGAAUUGAUCAUUGCAUUGAUAGACUAUAGAAAUGACUCACAGUAAGGCUGAGAUUGCUAGGAAUGAUAGUAAGGCUGGAAUUGAGCAGUGCAUUGAUAGAAAUGCUAGGAUGAAUGCAUAUAGAUCAAAUUGUAUCUGCCAUCAUGCUAGCAAUGCAUCCAAACCAUUGAUUAUAGAUUCAGGUGCAUCUCAUCAUAUGAUUAGUGACACCAACCUGAUUAAAGACAUAGAACCUACUAAUGGAUGUGUGAUGAUUGCAAAUGGAGAUAAGAUACCUAUUAAGGGAAUAGGAAACUUAAAGCUAUUUGAUAAGACUACUAGAGCAUUUUAUAUUCCUGAAUUCACAUCAAAUCUACUUUCAGUUAAGAAAUGCACUACUGAUUUGAAUUGCAAUGUUAUAUUCAGUCCUAAUGAUGUGAAGUUUCAGGAUAUUGAGAGCAGCCAAUUGAUUGGAAAAGGAGUUACAAAGGGAGAGUUAUAUAUGCUUGAGAAGCUUGAUCCUGUUUCCAAUCAUAACUGCUCAUUUACUUCUGCUUCUAGUUUGAAUAAAAAUGCAUUGUGGCAUGCUAGACUAGGUCAUCCCCAUGAGAGGGCUUUAAACUUGAUGUUACCAGGUGUGGUUUUUGAAAAUGAUAAGUGUGAAGCUUGCAUUUUAGGCAAGCAUUGUAAGAAUGUAUUUCCAAAAACAUCUACUGUUUAUGAAAAUUGCUUUGAUUUGAUUCAUACUGAUGUGUGGACUGCACCUAUUUUCUCUAGAGAUAAUCAUAAGUACUUUGUCACAUUCAUUGAUGAAAAAUCUAAAUACACCUGGUUAACACUAAUUCCAUCAAAAGAUAGGGUGAUAGAUGCAUUCAAGAACUUUCAAGCUUAUGUGACUAACCAUUAUCAUGCUAAGAUUAAAAUUUUGAGAUCAGAUAAUGGAGGAGAAUACACAAGCUAUGCGUUCAAAAGCCAUCUAGAUCAUCAUGGAAUACUUCAUCAAACAAGCUGCCCCUACACACCACAACAGAAUGGUGUAGCUGAGAGGAAGAACAGGCACUUGAUGGAGGUGGCUCGGUCAUUAAUGUUCCAAGCUAAUGUACCUAAAAGAUUCUGGAGUGAUGCUGUAUCCACUGCUUGCUAUCUAAUCAACCGAAUACCUACAAGGGUAUUGAAGGAUCAAGCACCAUUUGAGGUACUGAACCAGCGCAAGCCAUCUUUGACAUAUAUGAGAGUGUUUGGAUGCUUGUGUUAUGUGCUGGUACCAGGAGAGUUGAGGAACAAGCUAGAAGCAAGAAGCAGAAAGGCAAUGUUCAUUGGCUACUCAACAACUCAAAAAGGAUAUAAGUGUUAUGAUCCAGAAUCUAGAAGGGUACUUGUAUCUAGAGAUGUGAAGUUCAUUGAAGAAAGAGGAUACUAUGAAGAGAAGAAUCAAGAAGACUUGAGGGAUCUUACAUCAGAUAAGGCUGGAGUCUUAAGAGUGAUUUUGGAAGGUCUUGGUAUCAAGAUGAAUCAGGAUCAGUCCACAAGAAGUAGACAACCAGAAGAGAGCUCAAAUGAACCAAGAAGAGCUGCUCAAACACCUCACCUUGAUCAUGAGGGGGGAAGUGAACCUGAAACUCAAGAAAAUGGCCAAGAAGGAGUCGGCUUGAGUGAAGAAGGAGAAGAGUUCAACUCAGGUUCUCAUCAUCAAGGUGAGCAAGACCAAGGAGAUGAAGAACAUCACAGUGAAGCACAAGAACCGCAUAUACAAGAUGAGCAGGUUCAAGUGCAAGAACAACCUGUAUUGAGGAUAAGCACAAGGAUUAGAAAGGAUCCUUCCUCUUGGGUAAACACGCGAGUGUACUACAAUGCCCAAGCUGUGGAGGAUCCUUCUCGAGUUGUGUGUUCCUUUGCUCAAUACCCUGAAGAACAUUGUGCGUUCAUGGUUAACUUGGAUGAGAACUAUAUUCCAAGAAGCUAUGAAGAAGCAAUCAUGGAUAAAGAAUGGAAGGAAUCAGUUGGAGCUGAGGCAGGAGCCAUGAUCAAGAAUGAUACAUGGUAUGAGAGUGAGUUACCAAAAGGGAAGAAGGCUGUGAGUAGUAAAUGGAUAUUCACAAUCAAGUAUAAGGCUGAUGGAAAGGUUGAGAGGAAGAAGUCAAGGCUAGUAGCAAGAGGUUUCACUCAAACUUAUGGAGAAGAUUACAUAGAAACCUUUGCACCAGUAGCUAAACUACAUACAAUAAGGAUUGUAUUAAGCUUGGCUGUGAAUCUUGGAUGGGGGUUAUGGCAAAUGGAUGUGAAGAAUGCAUUCUUACAAGGUGAACUUGAGGAUGAAGUAUAUAUGCAUCCACCUCCAGGCCUGGAACACUUAGUGAAGAAAGGGAAUGUGUUAAGAUUGAAGAAAGCUAUCUAUGGGCUGAAGCAAUCACCAAGGGCUUGGUACAACAAGCUGAGCACUACUCUGAAUGGCCGUGGCUUCAAGAAGUCUGAACUAGAUCACACUCUCUUCACACUCACAACUCCCUCAGGUAUGAUUGCACUUCUUGUGUAUGUUGAUGAUAUCAUUAUCACAUGAAGUGAUAAGGAAGGUAUCAUAGCAACCAAGGAGUUCAUUAAAUCCAUGUUUGAGAUUAAAGAUUUGGGUGAAAUGAAAUACUUUCUUGGAAUUGAGAUAUGUAGAUCCAAGGAAGGUUUAUUCAUGUCCCAAAGGAAGUAUACACUUGAUCUUUUGAAAGGUGCAGGUGCUUAUGGAGGCAAGACUGCAAGGAUGCCUAUGGAGGAUGGCUACAAAGUCCCACGAGAGGGGGAGAUUGAAGACAGCAAACCUUAUCAGGAUCCUAAACUCUAUAGAAAACUAGUUGGCAAAUUGAUUUAUCUUACCAUAACUAGACCUGCCAUUUGUAGACAGCAAACCUUAUCAGGAUCCUAAACUCUAUAGAAAACUAGUUGGCAAAUUGAUUUAUCUUACCAUAACUAGACCUGACAUUUGUUUUGCUGUGAAUCAGGUGAGUCAACACAUGCAAGUUCCUAAGGAGCAUCAUUGGCACAUGGUGGAGAGGAUCUUGAUGUAUCUCAAUGGCUCACCUGAUCAAGGAGUAUGGAUGGGUUGCAAUGGAAGCUCUGAAGUGGUGGGAUACUGUGAUGCAGAUUGGGCUGGUGAUAGAACAGACAGGAGAUCAACCACAGGCUAUUGCACAUUCAUUGGAGGCAACUUGGUGACAUGGAAGAGUAAGAAGCAGAAGGUGGUCUCUUGCUCAAGCGCAGAAGCUGAGUAUAGAGCUAUGCUGAAGCUUACCAACGAGUUGGUAUGGAUCAAAGGCAUCUUGAAGCAUUUGGAGAUUGAUCAAGCCACGCCAAUGACAAUGCAUUGUGAUAACCAAGCAGCCAUUCACAUUGCAUCCAACUCGGUGUUUCAUGAGAGAACCAAGCACAUUGAAGUUGAUUGCCACAAAGUGAGGCAAAUGAUCAUUCUAGGAGUCAUCUUGCCAUGUUACACGAGGAGUGAAGAUCAGUUGGCUGAUGUGUUCACCAAGGCUGCAAGACAGAAGACAAUGGAGUCCAUUCAUAUCAGAUUGGGACUCAUAGACCUUGGGAAGAGAAGGAGCUGAUCCCCUCAUCAAAGUUUUGUCCCAAUGGGUUUUCUUUGGUGAGGUUUUUAAUGAGGAAGAUCUCAUGGCUAUCCAAGCUUAGGCUUUCACAAAGCUAAGCUUGAGGGGGAGUGUUGAGAAGAAGGCAUUAGAUGAUGAGAUGGAUUGUUAAUAAGAGAGUGAGGCUUAGGAGAGCAAUGGGUUGGUGGAAUGAGUUUGGGAGAGGCUAGGCCGUACCAUGGCCGUACAGGCCGUACCAUGGCCGUACAAGAGGAACUCGACCAAGACCACUCAUUAAGGGAAGUUACUACACUCGGUUAACUUAAGAGGUAAAGGAGAAGUCUUACUAACCCUUUACUGAUGUUACCGUGUGGAGAGGAUAAGGGAAGAGCUUAUGACAGGCUGUCAGGAGCUGUGUAAAGGUAAAGGUGCUUUACACACAAGGAAGAGCUUAAUUGGACAGUUUGAAUUAAAGUAGAAUCUUAUCCUAUGUAAUAGUGUGCUUUCUGAAACCCUUAACCCACGAGCUGCCUCUCUAUAUAUUGUAACAUCUGGUCAUUAAUAAUACUUAGACAGUUCUAAACAAUCUCUCUCUAUACUCAUUUCAUUAUGAUUCUCCAUUAGUCUCUAAUCUGUCUCUUAAUCUCUUAUUCUCUUCUAUAAUCCUUUCUAAACUCAGAUAAUCAUUUACAUCCUUAAAUCUCAUACUACCUAGUCUGGUCUAGGAUGGUGAAGACUGCUGUGGGAAGCAAG